CGGGAAGUAGCUCAGCUUGGUAGAGCGUUCGUUUCGGGUGCGAAAGGCCGCAGGUUCAAAUCCUGUCUUCCCGA
rnacentral:tRNA from 1 species